rnacentral:rRNA from 1 species
GACGAACGCUAGCGGGAUGCCUUACACAUGCAAGUCGAACGGAGUGGCGAACGGGUGAGUAAUGUAUCGGAACGUGCCCAGUAGCGGGGGAUAACUACGCGAAAGCGUCGCUAAUACCGCAUACUCUUGGAACGGCCCAUAUCGGAUUAGCUAGUUGGUGGGGUAACGGCUCACCAAGGCGACGAUCCGUAGCUGGUUUGAGAGGACGACCAGCCACACGGGGACUUAGACACGGACCAGACUCCUACGUGAGGCAGCAGUGGGGAAUUUUGGACAAUGGGGGAAACCCUGAUCCAGCCAUCCCGCGUGUGCGAUGAAGGCCUUCGGGUUGUAAAGCACUUUUGGCAGGAAAGCGGUACCUGCAGAAUAAGCACCGGCUAACUACGUGCCAGCCGCCGCGGUAAUUC